GACGUCGAAUAUCGACGUCAUCAACACCAAAGUUGGUCGUGUUUAUGACGUCGAAUCUCGACGUCAUAAACACCAAAGUUGAUCGUGUUUAUGACGUAUAGUAUCGACGUCAUAAACACCUAAGUUGAUCGUGUUUAUAACGUCGAAUAUCGACGUCAUACACACAUAAGUUGGUCGUGUUUAUGACGUCGAAUCUCGACGUCAUAAACACCAAAGUUGAUAAUGUUUAUGACGUCGAAUCUCGACAACAUAAACAACAAAGUUGAUCGUGUUUAUGACGUCGAAUCUCGACGUC
rnacentral:miRNA from 1 species